GUGCUUGCUUUGAAAGCACAUAUACUAAAAUUGGAACAGUACAGACAGAAAAGACUAGUGUGGCCCCUGUACAAGGAUGAUAUGCAAAUUUGUGAAGCUUUCCCUAUUUUU
ensembl:snRNA U6 U6 spliceosomal RNA